rnacentral:tRNA from 1 species
GAGGGUAUAGCUCAGUGGUAGAGUGCAUACUUAAUAUGCACAAGGGCCUGGGUUCAAUCCCCAGUACCUCCA